UUUGUAGAUUCCAAGAAUGUCCCAUCACUUACGAGUGAUCUUGAGGAUCUAGAUGCCAAUUAUAAUGUAUCGAUGCAUGAGGAUGAGGAGGAGGAAGAAGAAGCAAGUGAUCCAGACAUGAUGCAUGAUGAGGAUGAGCUUUAGGCCCAUAGUGAAGCCGUGAGGAAUAAUGUUUGUCUUGCCAUUUGUGGACAUGAUUCUACUCUUUUGUGUUCUCGUGGUUAUGUAUUACUAGUGUGUUGAAUUAUUGAUCUCUCAACAGUUGCAAAAUCUGCUCUUUUA